AUGCUCAAUGUAUUCCAAAAUAAGAGACUCAACACAUCUGAAUCGGGGAACGGAACGAUAGCAUCCGGAAAAGAGUAUUAUUUCAACAACUGGAUGACGCUGCUUUCCCAGCUGCCUUUGCUGCUGUUCACGCUGCUCAACUCUAUUCUCUAUCCACGGAUCUCGGAGAAGAUGAGGAUUGGAGGAAGUCUAGUCUUCAUCUUCCUGCUCUUCUUCCUCACUGCCGUCCUGGUGAUGAUCCCCAUGGAGGAGGACCGGUUCUUCUCCAUCACCAUGGCGACCAUCUGGUUCAUCAACUGUGAGUGCCAAAUUCACGGGAUCUACAUUCAUCACAACUAACAUUGAAUGUGUUUAUGAUGUGACAGACGAUUUCGCUUCAAAGACAUGCUGAUUUAGAUUUCUAUGAGUCAAAGUAGGGUGACACAGUGGCUCAAUGGUUAGCACUGCCACCUCACAGCAAGAAGGUCGCUGGUUUGAGUUCCAGCUGGGUCAGUUGGCGUUUCUGUGUGGAGUUUGCAUGUUCUCCCCAUGUUGGUGUGGGUUUCCUCCGAGUGCUCCGGUUUCCCCCACAGUCCAAACACAUGCGCUGUGGGGGAACUGAUGAACUUUGAUGA
rnacentral:lncRNA from 1 species